rnacentral:rRNA from 1 species
GAUGAACGCUGGCGGCGUGCCUAAUACAUGCAAGUCGAGCGAACAGACGAGGAGCUUGCUCCUCUGACGUUAGCGGCGGACGGGUGAGUAACACGUGGAUAACCUACCUAUAAGACUGGGAUAACUUCGGGAAACCGGAGCUAAUACCGGAUAAUAUAUUGAACCGCAUGGUUCAAUAGUGAAAGACGGUUUUGCUGUCACUUAUAGAUGGAUCCGCGCCGCAUUAGCUAGUUGGUAAGGUAACGGCUUACCAAGGCGACGAUGCGUAGCCGACCUGAGAGGGUGAUCGGCCACACUGGAACUGAGACACGGUCCAGACUCCUACGGGAGGCAGCAGUAGGGAAUCUUCCGCAAAGGGCGAAAGCCUGACGGAGCAACGCCGCGUGAGUGAUGAAGGUCUUCGGAUCGUAAAACUCUGUUAUUAGGGAAGAACAAAUGUGUAAGUAACUAUGCACGUCAUGACGGUACCUAAUCAGAAAGCCACGGCUAACUACGUG